GCCAAACGUGUUCGCAUGAAGAGACCUAGCAAUAAAACAUGAAAGGCUCAAAGAUGGCAGAGCCCGCCAAUGGAAGGACCCUGAAUGCCUGAGCUCCCACUCAAGGAGAGCUAUCCAGGAGAGCUGCCCGACCAGGAAUCUCCACUGUGGACUUUUGGCCUGGGGACCAUACAGGACCUGCUUAAACUUGAAAAACAGAAUUCUGCUUUCAAAUUGCUCCUGAACCCACAAGACUCUUCCAAGUUCUUUAAAAUCCGUCCAUUCCUGUGCGCCCCCUCCUCAGAGCCUGGACCGUAGUCUUCAGUUACUUGGAGUUUGGUACCUGAAGACUGCCAUCGUCUCCGGGACCCCACUCCUUUCCAGUGUAUUCAGGGCCAAGCCCUGUUGCCUCUCUCUAUGCAGCCUCCACCUGGGGCCCUCUGCCCAACUUUCCUGGCUGCUACCUCUGGGGGUCGAGCUUCCUCUCCUGGUUUGCUGCAGCCACUUCCUCACUGGCCCCUGCCUCCAGCAUCCCCCUCCCACCCGGGGAUCCUGCAGGCUGCGUUCUUUAUAAUCCCUCUGAAGCAUAGCGCUCCCGACUCCUCACAAGUCUGCUGGAAAACUUUCCACGUCUUUGUUGGCCUUGACCCCGAAUUGUCGAUGAUUUUCUGAUGGAAUCAGAGC
rnacentral:lncRNA from 1 species